AACAAUGUGACAACUACAGCAUAUUGUGGCUGGCUUCCCACUUCUACUCUCCACAUCUCACAACCAAAACCACCACACUCCCACAAAGCAAAGGCAUUUCCAGACUGGCCGAAUGAUUUCUUCCUGUUUCAGAGACAGCGACGGCGACAAAAUGACCAAAAAAUCCAUACAGGUUCAGAGCACUCUGGAUCCAUAUUUCACCUCGGUUAGUGUCAGAAAUCUCUCCUUUUUUCUAUAGUUCUACGGUCAUGAAUUACCACUAUGAGAAAUUGCUAUUGCUGAAGAAUAGAUCUUAUAACUAAUAUUAACUUGUAAUUACAUUAUACGUUCCAGAAAAGAUGUUAAAAAUAGCAAUAGAAGCCAGCGCCUGCUCGUGCCAUAGAGCAAAUAUACAUUUAGGAUACAAAAAUUUGAAAUGUCAAAAUAUUAUUAUUUUUUGUUCAAUUAUUGGUCAUGAAGGGUCAGAGAAGGUGGCAUACAAUUCCUUUACAGAAACUUGUUGGUUGAAAUCUCAAAGCUUGGUUCAAGAAUUUAGUGCAGUAGUUUUUUCACGUUUGGCAGAAACACUUGUGUCAUUUUUCUGUCUUUCUUUGUUUCUCUCCUUGAAUCACAAACUCGUUAAGUAAAAUUACAUUUUGAGCUCAAAAUUGUGUGGCCAUGAAUGACAAUUGUACGAGAAAUUAAUUGUUGCUGCAAAAUUGUAAAUUGGUUCUGUCUCCAUGUACGUGUGUGUGUGUGUGUGUGUGUCUAUAUAUAUAUACUGGCAUUUUUUUGGGGCAAUAUCCGAAAAUCAAAUUAUGGAAGGCCUGCACGUUUGGCAGAAACACUUGUGUCAUUUUUCUGUCUUUCUUUGUUUCUCUCCUUGAAUCACAAACUCGUUAAGUAAAAUUACAUUUUGAGCUCAAAAUUGUGUGGCCAUGAAUGACGAUUGUACGAGAAAUUAAUUGUUGCUGCAAAAUUGUAAAUUGGUUCUGUCUCCAUGUACGUGUGUGUGUGUGUGUGUGUGUGUGUCUAUAUAUAUAUACUGGCAUUUUUUUGGGGCAAUAUCCGAAAAUCAAAUUAUGGAAGGCCUGGGGGAAAAUAGCUCCAUUCAUUGUUUACAGACCCAAAAAUUCCUAAGUUCUUUUUGCCAAUUUCAUUCAUUUUUGAGAAAAUAAAUAUAAUUUCACGUGGUAAAAGGGAAAUUGGGGGAAUGAGUUGGGAAUCCUUGUCCGGUUGUCUAGAAGGGUUUUGGAUUUCGAUCUGUUACGUUGAGUGGAUAUAAUUUGUGUCAUUCCGAUCGUCGGAUGAGAGAGCAUUUAUAUUUUGUAUAUUUACAUGUACUACUUUGCAGUUAAGAUUUGUAUGCUUACAUGUAAGAAAACUCCGCAUCUCAUUUAUAUUUCAUUUUCCUUCUCAGCCGCAAAUGAGCUUCCACACUUCCUCAACUUCCAACCCCCUCCCAAUCUCUCCCCAAGCCACAUUCGGUGUAUGAAAAAGUCAGUGGAAAAUACUGGAUCGUAUACCGCGCUACAAUUUUAAAGUACAGAUCGCAAUCGUGGUGGCGACUAUGGGUAUCCACAACUUCCUCCGAUGGGCAGGAGUUGUCAAUGAGGCAUUCACGCGAGUUGAGAUGGACCUCGACGCUGCAGAGGUAGAACUGUCGGACGAACACAAACAAAUCGCCGCUGAAAUGAACGCACCAAAAGUGCAGCUUAACGAGUGGGAUCAUUUUCGUGAUUUGUUGGCACAAAGUGGCGAACGCGUUUAACACUUUCUUUUCUCGUUAAAUUGUUGGAUUUUGUGUAAUCAGUUCAUGUAUGGGUAAGCCAUAUUUUCGUUGUGACUGUUGUAUGUUAACAUAAAUGGCUAAUUUUCAUUUUUGCGUUCAAUCAAUUUGUAUUUAAG
rnacentral:lncRNA from 1 species